rnacentral:lncRNA from 1 species
GGAAUUAGCUAGUCCUGUGAGGGCAGUCUCUCAAGGAUCAAGGCCCCAGAUGCCAGAGCAUCAAGAAUAUGGAAAAUCAGAGAACAUGAUCAAUAUACCAGCUCAUCCCUGGAUGAAGCUCCCUGCCUUUCCUCAUACAGACAAAAAAGUGCAAUCCUCAAUUUUCCGGCCUACCUUGUAGCUGGGAGCUAUAAAAUGAAGUUCAUCAGGCAUGAGCGGUCUGCUGGUACUGCUUCUUCCCGCUUCCCCUUCUUCUUGCUUUGGGAUGGGAUGCGAUGUUUGCUGCUGUAACAGCCAUUUGCAGCCAUAAGGAAAAGGCCAAAUGAAUUGCAGUGGUGUCCAUUGAACCAAUUCUGUAUUUUUCUGGACUUCUUGUUUUGUGAGAAAAAUAAACUGCUAUUUAAACCACUGUA